AUGCAAGGCGUGCCUCUGGAGCCCACUCUGUCCACCUCCAUCAGGCCUUCAUACAACACGUAAAGAGCAGGCUUGAGGAGUGACAUGUUCACAAAGGCAAAUGCGUGUUGUCUGUGACCCACUUCUCUGCCAAGACCCUGCGCAAGUUCAUGGACAUUCCAUAUUUUUGAAAGACUUACCUGUGAAGAAUGAAGCCCACUCUUUCUUCAGAAAUUGUUGCAACUGGAAGAACCCAGUAACAGAGUGACGGGGACUGUGGAAAAGCGGGCACUCCAUCCAAUCAUUGCCAAGUAAGAAGUAAGGCCCUGUGUGGUGACAUCUCAUUUUUAAAAGAGAAAUCACAAAUCCAGAAUUUUAUGUAUCAUUUUCCCAUUUCAAAAUAUUGAUGAUUUGCUAAUUUUUUUUUUUGUAAAUAUUUUGUGAGACAAACCAACUAUGUCUUUAGGUUGAAUUUAGCCUGCAGGCUCCCAGGUUAGGAUUUCUGGAGCAGAUGGUGGAUGUCUGGAUGAUAGAUGGCCAUCUCUAACUUUGAAGUUCUACUCAUGAAGGAUAACUAUUAUGCCUUCUUUUUAGGCAAGCUCCUUGCAGGCGGAGCCAUGUCCUCUGUUUAGUUUUGUAUUGUAUACCCCAAGGUUCCAAGUAUAGUGUAAGGCAUACCUUGGACCCUUAAUAUAUAUUUAUGGAAUGAAGAAAGACAAUCUUGGUGUCACUGUCAGGAACUAAAAGAUCAUUGGUCUGGCUUUUGUGAAUACAAACAAUACUACAGUAAACGAAACUACUAAUGGUGGCAUUUGAAAAUGAAAGAGGGAUGAGGCGUGUGUCAUGAAAAAAAAAUCCCCUGAAAUUGCUUUUAGUGGAAGUAAGUAGAAUGUACACUUAUGAAUUGUCUAGAAGACCAAAUGUUUUCGAAAUCUCAACUGUUCAACUUUUCUGUCACAAAGAGAUAGCUAGACAGUGAAUACUGCUUAGUGAGAAACACAGAAAGUUUUGUCCCAACCAUGUGCAUUUGAAGAUUUCAUAGUCUAACAACCACCUAAAUGCAAAGUCUUGUCUAGUAAGGUAAGAGUCUGAGGAUGAACUCAGAACAGUAGAUUUUUAUUUUUGUCUAUCUGUCACACUUCUCUAAGAGUCUUGUUUAAAAAACAAUGAAAUCAUUGUGAGGAAUCUAUUAUAAUGCUGAAAAAAGUGAUUGAGAUAAGGACUCAAACAUGAUUUCAAAAUUUGAGGGAGAAAGGCCAAAAAUCAGG
rnacentral:lncRNA from 1 species